rnacentral:rRNA from 1 species
UACGUAGGGUGCAAGCGUUAAUCGGAAUUACUGGGCGUAAAGCGUGCGCAGGCGGUUAUGCAAGACAGAUGUGAAAUCCCUCGGCUCAACUGAGGAACUGCACGGGAGACUGUCGGGCUUGAGUUCGGGAGAGGGAAGCGGAAUUCCGGGUGUAGCGGUGAAAUGCGUAGAUAUCCGGAGGAACACCGGUGGCGAAGGCGGCUUCCUGGACCGACACUGACGCUGAGGCGCGAAAGCUAGGGGAGCAAACGGG